AACGAACGCUGGCGGCAUGCCUAACACAUGCAAGUCGAACGAGACCUUCGGGUCUAGUGGCGCACGGGUGCGUAACGCGUGGGAACCUGCCCUUAGGUUCGGAAUAACUCUCCGAAAGGGGUGCUAAUACCGGAUAAUGUCUUCGGACCAAAGAUUUAUCGCCUUUGGUUGGGCCCGCGUUGGAUUAGCUAGUUGGUAGGGUAAAAGCCUACCAAGGCGACGAUCCAUAGCUGGUCUGAGAGGAUGAUCAGCCACACUGGGACUGAGACACGGCCCAGACUCCUACGGGAGGCAGCAGUGGGGAAUAUUGGACAAUGGGCGAAAGCCUGAUCCAGCAAUGCCGCGUGAGUGAUGAAGGCCUUAGGGUUGUAAAGCUCUUUUACCCGGGAUGAUAAUGACAGUACCGGGAGAAUAAGCUCCGGCUAACUCCGUG
rnacentral:rRNA from 1 species